UGACGAGUGCUCAAACACCCCUGGCGUCUGUCAACAUAUCACAGAUAGUAUCUGCAAGAAUUCACCCGGUUCUUAUCGUUGUCUGUGUAAUUCAGGGUACACAGGAGUAACAUGUCAAGAUAUAAACGAGUGUACACCAGAAACGGGUGUCUGCAACAGCACAGCUAACAGUCACUGCAACAACAUUCCUGGCUCAUAUCAAUGUCUUUGCAGGACUGGAUACACAGGCUCAACAUGUCAAGAUAUCAAUGAAUGUACACUUUAUACGGGUAUUUGCAACAAUAUUGCUAACAAUCAAUGCAACAAUACACCUGGAUCAUAUCAAUGUGUUUGCAAGUCAGGCUUUACAGGAACACCUUGUGAAGAUAUCAACGAAUGUAAGGACGACAGAGACAUCUGCAAGAGUACAAUCAACAGUGAAUGUAACAACACUAUCGGAUCGUAUGAAUGUGUUUGCCAAGAAGGAUACUCUGGACCUCCAUG